UACAGAGGUGGCAAGCGUUGUUCGGAAUUAUUGGGCGUAAAGGGCGCGUAGGCGGCCCGCUAAGUCGAACGUGAAAUCCCCGAGCUCAACUCGGGAACUGCGUCCGAUACUGGUGGGCUUGAAUCCGGGAGAGGGAUGCGGAAUUCCAGGUGUAGCGGUGAAAUGCGUAGAUAUCUGGAGGAACACCGGUGGCGAAGGCGGCAUCCUGGACCGGCAUUGACGCUGAGGCGCGAAAGCUAGGGGAGCAAACGGG
rnacentral:rRNA from 1 species